rnacentral:misc_RNA from 1 species
UUGAUAUAAGGUCCGCAGACUUAAACAAGAGUGGGAGUUCAUCGGUUGCCCAAUGCCUCGGUAAUGAUCCAUCCGCAGGUUCACCUUUAAAAUAGCGACAACGUUAGUAACUGUUUUAGUUGAAAAAUGAUAUAACAAAAACUGAUUUGCUUUUACUCACCUACGGAUA